UACGUAGGGUGCAAGCGUUGUCCGGAAUUAUUGGGCGUAAAGAGCUCGUAGGCGGUCUGUCACGUCGGCUGUGAAAACCCGGGGCUCAACCCCGGGCCUGCAGUCGAUACGGGCAGACUAGGGUGCGGUAGGGGAGACUGGAAUUCCUGGUGUAGCGGUGAAAUGCGCAGAUAUCAGGAGGAACACCGGUGGCGAAGGCGGGUCUCUGGGCCGUAACUGACGCUGAGGAGCGAAAGCGUGGGGAGCGAACAGG
rnacentral:rRNA from 1 species